UACGAAGGGGGCUAGCGUUGUUCGGAAUUACUGGGCGUAAAGCGUGCGCAGGCGGCUGCUCAAGUCAGGGGUGAAAGCCCGGGGCUCAACUCCGGAAUUGCCUUUAAGACUGCAUCGCUAGAAUUGUGGAGAGGUGAGUGGAAUUCCGAGUGUAGAGGUGAAAUUCGUAGAUAUUCGGAAGAACACCAGUGGCGAAGGCGACUCACUGGACACAUAUUGACGCUGAGGUGCGAAAGCGUGGGGAGCAAACAGG
rnacentral:rRNA from 1 species